GCUUCAGCUCAGUCAGCAAAACAUGAGACUCUUAAUCUCAGGGUUGUGGGUUCGAGUCCCAUGUUACGCA